ensembl:snRNA U6 U6 spliceosomal RNA
GAGCUCACUUCAGCAGCACAUAUACUAAAAUUGAAAUGAUACAGAGAAGAUUAGCAUGUCCUCUGUGCAAAGAUGACAUGCAAAUUCAUGAAAUGUUCCAUAUUAAA